AAAGCGGUGUCAACACAUGCCCCCCAAUUUUGGAGUGAAAUAUAAUUUUUGCUCCGAAAUUCUUCUGACAAGUGGACCUCUUGCUCUCCGUGCAAACAUCAUCAAUAUUUACAGAGCCAAUUCCUCACAUCCCGUAUCACCAAUAUGUGAAAACUCUUCUUUGCCCUUGAUCUUCUUUCUCCCUAGCCAUAUAUCCUCGACGCGGCGGCUCAACUUCUGUCUUUUCACCUUUCUUUACCAGAUCUGAAUUUCAAACGUCUUCAUCUGCUGAGCCAGUUCUCCUCCCCUUGACCUCUAUAAGUAGCAGCCAUUGUUACCACAAGCACCUCAAGGUCCACCAGUCGCUAUGCUCUUUGUUUCCUCUUCUUCCUCAAAGGUCCUCAGCCGCUUCCUCGUGAGCAAUGAUCGGAAAACAUACACACAUCAGGGAGGUAUCUCUGAACCAAUCAUCGGCUCUUUGCUGCCACUAUAGGGAUAACAGAUCUUCUGGCAUAUGGCACUACACACAUCCCUCAGCUUUAAGAGGUUCAGCUCCACCAACGAUGCCCAGGAGCUCAUGCGCGAAUAUUAUCCUCAGACGAAAAUACGCCUCCGCCAGGUAAUCUUUCUUUGCUGAUACUUCCGACUAAUUAAUCUACCUCUGUCCCUGCCAAUCUUGGAAUUUCAGAUCUAGAAUCUUCUUCUCCUUCCAAUAGCGGCUUCGGCUAUGUCUACAUCGAGCAUCAGAAGCAAACACGCAGAACGCCCCAUGGAGGAACCACCACUCCAACCUAAUUCAGGGUCCUCCUCCAGCACUUGCAUUUUGUUCCUUCAAGGGGCAACUCAAGGAAUAGGAAGGAGCUGAAGAACUUGCCGAUGAACUGUCAGUACUGCAAUGUGUAAAUCUCGAUGUGUAAUCAAUAAUACUGAGCAAACAAUUUUAUCAGCACUAGCUAGUCCCAAUGUAAUUCUCCUGUUCUGUUUUAGAAAUCAAUGAACUGACUCAAAUCCAACUUA